GGGGAUUUAGCUCAGUGGCAUAAGCGCUUGCCUUGCAAGCAGGCAGAGUUCAAUCCCUG
rnacentral:tRNA from 1 species